GAUGAACGCUGGCGGCGUGCCUAAUACAUGCAAGUCGAGCGAACGGACGAGAAGCUUGCUUCUCUGAUGUUAGCGGCGGACGGGUGAGUAACACGUGGAUAACCUACCUAUAAGACUGGGAUAACUUCGGGAAACCGGAGCUAAUACCGGAUAAUAUUUUGAACCGCAUGGUUCAAAAGUGAAAGACGGUCUUGCUGUCACUUAUAGAUGGAUCCGCGCUGCAUUAGCUAGUUGGGAAGGUAACGGCUUACCAAGGCAACGAUGCAUAGCCGACCUGAGAGGGUGAUCGGCCACACUGGAACUGAGACACGGUCCAGACUCCUACGGGAGGCAGCAGUAGGGAAUCUUCCGCAAUGGGCGAAAGCCUGACGGAGCAACGCCGCGUGAGUGAUAAAGGUCUUCGGAUCGUAAAACUCUGUUAUUAGGGAAGAACAUAUGUGUAAGUAACUGUGCACAUCUUGACGGUACCUAAUCAGAAAGCCACGGCUAACUACGUG
rnacentral:rRNA from 1 species